CAGUCGCCGCGGGAAUACGUAGGUGGCGAGCGUUGUCCGGAAUUAUUGGGCGUAAAGGGAGCGCAGGCGGACAUAUAAGUCCAUCUUAAAAGUGCGGGGCUCAACCCCGUGAGGGGAUGGAAACUGUAUGCCUUGAGUGCAGGAGAGGAAAGCGGAAUUCCCAGUGUAGCGGUGAAAUGCGUAGAUAUUGGGAGGAACACCAGUGGCGAAGGCGGCUUUCUGGACUGCAACUGACGCUGAGGCUCGAAAGCCAGGGGAGCGAACGGGAUUAGAGACCCCUGUAGUCCCUGUCUCUUAUACA
rnacentral:rRNA from 1 species